UCUUCCUCUAAGAGGAGAUUUUAGUGGAGUUAACAUUGAUGAUUCUGCCGAUAAAGAUGAUUGAAUGGGAGUUUCAGAAAUCCCUAGAGCUGCAAAAUGGAGAUCUCUUUUUGGAGUUGACAAAGAUAGCAAUGUGGAUCUAUCAACCUGCAAGUUUUCCUUUCACAAACAACAUUCAAUUAAGGGAGAUUAGAGGAAUCAUUGGUGAUUUAUCUUGCUCAAGACAGUAACAUCACGUGGAUUGUGCAAGCACAUGGGAGGCGAGUGUACCAUCGAGAAGGCCUGGUUAGCAUGGAAACUACUCCAUGACAGAGUCUCAACUGAUGAUGCGAUGCGGGAUUCAGGGUAAUGCUUACGCGGAUAUCUUAGCUAAGCAUGGAGAUGGAGCUAUUAGUUCACCGGGGAUCCCCAACCUCCAAUGAUACAUCCUGCAAUGAAGGAAGCCAUAGAUGUUCUCCC